rnacentral:rRNA from 1 species
GAUGAACGCUGGCGGCGUGCCUAAUACAUGCCAGUCGAGCGAACGGACGAGAAGCUUGCUUCUCUGAUGUUAGCGGCGGACGGGUGAGUAACACGUGGAUAAUCUACCUAUAAGACUGGGAUAACUUCGGGAAACCGUAGCUAAUACCGGAUAAUAUUUUGAACCGCAUGGUUCAAAAGUGAAAGACGGUCUUGCUGUCGGUUAUAGAUGGAUCUGCGCUGCAUUAGCUAGUUGGUAGGGUAGCGGCGUACCAAGGCAAGGAUGCAUAGCCGGCCUGAGAGGGUGACCGGCCACAUGGGGACUGAGAUACGGCCCAGACUCCUAGGGGAGGCAGCAGUGGGGAAUAGUGAACAAUGGGCGGAAGCCAGAUGCAGAAACGCAGAGUGCGGGAUAACGGCCUUCGGGUUGUAAACCGCUUUCGCCUGUGACGAAGCGUGAGUGACGGUAAUGGGUAAAGAAGCACCGGCUAACUACGUG